UAGUUUUGUACCUCUUCUUUUACAGAACAGAAAACUUGAUAGUUUCCUUUUCCUCGACCGCCGCUCCUCAAAUCCCCCAAACCUAGAACUACCAACAAUAACCACCUACACAGAUGUCGUUUUCAAGUCCCCCGAUGAUACCAUUGAAGUCAACGGCCGUUUUGAAAGUCCCAACCAAUACUCAGAAUACUCAGCUUCAUCAUUCUCGAGAACUCCCUCUUUCAAUUUCAUCUUCGUCCUUGUCAGUCACAAGAAGAUUGUUGUUUGGAGAUCAAUAGAAUUAUUGUAGGGUUUUCUCUCCAGAGAUUCGCCACUUCUUCUCCUCUUCUUUCUUUUCCAUUCUUCCUCUCAUCCCAUCCUGUAAAAUUUCUCAUCUAUUUUCGGUUUGUCCUUUUUUCCAAAACCUUAAUUUUUUUAACCCAAGGCGUGCCCAUGCGUUUGCCAUCAGUUUAGUCUUGAGAGUCCAAACACUUCUGCUUCUUCAUCCAUUUCAUUUUUUCCACUCUAAAGCCAUUACAUCACUCAUCAACAUCUACACGUUCCUUCUUCCUUUUUUCCACCCUAAAAUUUUUUUUGUAGCCCUAAAUCACACCUACAACUUGAAGUGAUUUCUACCAAAAUCUUCUCUCAAACCCUCAACUUAUUCCACGUCUUUUGCUCUCAGAAAAAUAUGGUCAGAGAAGCAGCCAGUGAUGGAAUCCUUUGGGAUGUAUCUAACAAAAGCAUUUCUAGCUGUGAUUUUACCUAACCAUCAGUAAUUAUCUAUUUCUUCUUCCUACUUUACUUAUGUUUCUUUCUUGUUUUUAUUUUUUCAUUGAUGUCGACUUCUUAUUUCUUAGAAUCUGGAUCUGACGACUUCUUAUUUCUUAGAAUCUGGAUCUAAAGCUUCCAAGGUUGAAAUAUUUUUCCUCAGAAAUUGUCUAAAUCGGUAUAUUAUUAUCAAACUUAGUUCAAAUUAAUCUUCUUUGUCUUUGAUCUGAGUGUAAAAAAGAUAUCAAAAUAUGGUUCCUUCUGGCAAAAAAGGGCAAAAGAUCAAUCUUUUUUAGGGCUUUCUAUAUUUUUAUUAAUUUAAAAUCAUUAAAAUCAGAGGUCUAAUUUGGUUAAAAUGAUAUGUACUAAUUUUUAUACAUCCACAAUGGAUUAUUUCAAGUAAUGAUAGCAGUGAAGGCCGCGAUUAAGAAACAGGUUAGCUUUUAAUUUGCUUUUUAUGUGGUUUUUUCUUUUUUCUUUUUUAGGUCUCUGUGGUCUAUUACUAACCCUCUCUGUUUCUUUUAUUCUUUAUUCUGUAUUUAUUUUUUCCUUACUGAAGGGUCUAUCUACAAUGGAUUAUUUUAGGUUAUGAUAGCACUGAAGGUUACGAUUAAGAAAUAGCAAAAAUUGGAAGGAUACAGUGGAUGAAUGGGAGAGAUUGAAUCGACUUGAUCAAGCAUCAGUAGCCAUCAUUGACUUAACAAUGGCCGCUCCAGGAGCAGUCGCUUCGCCCCAUGCAGCCCCUUUUCAAAGCCGAUACGUUCAUCGACAACAAGCGGAAAGAUGACAUCCGAAUCAUCAACAUCUCCAACACACAAUCUAUCAGCGACACUGUUUGCACAAACUUAGGUUAAGUGGAUGAUUGAUCGUUGGGCUUCAAUUUCAUUCCUUGACAAAGCAAAAAGAGUUAUGCUUGAUGCUUCAGUGUAUCAAAUCUGCAAAAGCAAGGAAUCAAGCUAUCAUUCAGCAUAUUCUAGCUAUUCUUAUGCGUAUUGUUUCAGGGAUUGUGGAGUCUAUGCAUGUUGCUAUUGCUGGUUGGGGAAAGUUUCAAGAUUAACGCAAAUUGGGAGUUGCUUCUGGAAAUUGGUUCACAUAUCGCAUGUUUCAUUGAUUGAUACUUGUAUAGAAUGGUAUAUUUUUA